rnacentral:rRNA from 1 species
GUAACAAGGUUUCCGUAGGUGAACUUGCGGAAGGAUCAUUACCGAGAGUUGCAGGCUUUUGUCUGCCAUCUCUUACCCAUGUCUUUUGCGUACUACACGUUUCCUCGGCAGGUCCGCCUGCCGUUAGGACCACAUUAAACCAUUUGCAGUUGCAGUCAGCGUCUGAAAAACUUAAUAAUUACAACUUUUAACAACGGAUCUCUUGGUUCUGGCAUCGAUGAAGAACGCAGCGAAAUGCGAUAAGUAGUGUGAAUUGCAGAAUUCAGUGAAUCAUCGAAUCUUUGAACGCACAUUGCGCCCCUUGGUAUUCCAUGGGGCAUGCCUGUUCGAGCGUCAUUUGUACCUUCAAGCUCUGCUUGGUGUUGGGUGUUUGUCCCGCCUUUGUGCGCGGACUCGCCUUAAAGCAAUUGGCAGCCGGCGUAUUAGUUUCGGAGCGCAGCACAAAUCGCGCUCUGUGUCUUAUACGGUAGCAUCCAUCAAGACUAUUUUACAC